CGGCCCCAGAUUUCCUUACGGGAAGGCAGCACAGUGGGGAAUUUUUCCCCAAAUUGAACGAAAAUUUGGAGGGAGCAACCGCCGGGGUUUAUGAGGAAGGUUUUUCGGAUUGUAAAAUUACUGUCUUGGGGGAGGAAUGACUGAUUUGAGAAUAUUGAGGUCACAUGACGGUACCCAAGGAGGAAGCCCCGGCUAACUACGUGCCAGCAGCCGCGGUAAUACGUAGGGGGCAAGCGUUGUCCGGAAUUAUUGGGCGUAAAGGGCGCGUAGGCGGAUUUUUAAGUCCGGUGUGAAAGAUCAGGGCUCAACCCUGAGAGUGCAUCGGAAACUGGGGAUCUUGAGGACAGGAGAGGAAAGUGGAAUUCCACGUGUAGCGGUGAAAUGCGUAGAUAUGUGGAGGAACACCAGUGGCGAAGGCGACUUUCUGGACUGUAACUGACGCUGAGGCGCGAAAGCGUGGGGAGCAAACAGGAUUAGAUACCCUGGUAGUCCACGCUGUAAACGAUGAGUGCUAGGUGUAGAGGGUAUCGACCCCUUCUGUGCCGCAGUUAACACAAUAAGCACUCCGCCUGGGGAGUACGGCCGCAAGGUUGAAACUCAAAGGAAUUGACGGGGGCCCGCACAAGCGGUGGAGCAUGUGGUUUAAUUCGACGCAACGCGAAGAACCUUACCAAGGCUUGACAUCCUCUGAACCCUAAGGAAACUUGGGGGUGCCCUUCGGGGAGCAGAGAGACAGGUGGUGCAUGGUUGUCGUCAGCUCGUGUCGUGAGAUGUUGGGUUAAGUCCCGCAACGAGCGCAACCCCUGUGUUUAGUUGCUAACGAGUAAGGUCGAGCACUCUAGACAGACUGCCGGUGAUAAACCGGAGGAAGGUGGGGAUGACGUCAAAUCAUCAUGCCCCUUAUGUUCUGGGCUACACACGUGCUACAAUGGCCAGUACAGACGGAAGCGAAGCCGCGAGGUGGAGCGAAUCCGAGAAAGCUGGUCUCAGUUCGGAUUGCAGGCUGCAACUCGCCUGCAUGAAGUCGGAAUCGCUAGUAAUCGCAGGUCUGCAUACUGCGGUGAAUACGUUCCCGGGCCUUGUACACACCGCCCGUCACACCACGAAAGUCUGCAACACCCGAAGCCGGUGAGGUAACCCGUAAGGGAGCUAGCCGUCGAAGGUGGGGCCGAUAAUUGGGGUGAAGUCGUAACAAGGUAGCCG
rnacentral:rRNA from 1 species